rnacentral:lncRNA from 1 species
AAUUGUCACGACCCGGAACUCCCAUCGAGCCCGUGACAACCGCCGCGACGUCCCGAUAGGCACUCAUUACCCCGAAUGCCGAUCGAAACCCCGCAAGGCUUAGCAUCAGCUUCUGCAUCUCCCCAGUGAGUGACAGUUAUUAAAUUUCACAUUUCAAAAAAAAUCAUAAGUCAUUUCCAAAUCAAAACAAUAAAAUAUUACUUUCUGGCUCACAGGGGCAUUUUCNN